UCAUCAAAAACAUGUCCUUUUGUUUAUUUAUUUAAGGUCUGACCUGCCCAAUGAGUAAUUGAAUGGCCGCGGUAUUUUAACUGUGCUAAGGUAGCAUAAUCACUUGUCUUUUAAUUGAGGGCUAGAAUGAAGGGUUGGACGAGGCAUAUACUUUCUUUAUUUUAAAAUUAAAAUUUAACUUUUUAGUUAAAAGGCUAAAAUUUUUUUAAGGGACGAGAAGACCCUAUAGAUCUUUAUAAACAUGAAAUUUUAUAAUUUAGUUGUAAUAUUAUUUAAAUGGUAAUUUUUAUUUGAUUGGGGUGAUUCUGGAAUUUUUAUAACUUCUGGUUUUGAUGUUCAUUUAUUUAUGUUUAAUUGAUCCAUUUUUAAUGAUUAUAAGAUUAAGUUACCUUAGGGAUAACAGCGUAAUUUUCCCAGAGAGUUCAUAUUAAUGGGAGAGUUUGCGACCUCGAUGUUGGAUUAAAAUAAGUAUUCGGUGCAGUAGUUGAUUUACUAGGUCUGUUCGACCUUUAAAUUUUUACAUGAUCUGAGUUCA
rnacentral:rRNA from 1 species